CCUGGGUCGUCACAGGAAGAAUGGGCAAGCUCCUGGGGGCAUCAUUGUUGAUAUUGUGGCUUCAGCCAGACUGGGUAAACAGUCAACAGAAGAAUGGUGACCAGCAGGUUCAGCAAAAUUCUCCAUUUCUGAGUGUCCAAGAAGGAGAAAUUUCUAUUCUGAACUGUGACUACAAUAAUAAUAUGUUUGAUUACUUUGCAUGGUACAAAAAAUACUCUGCCAAAGGUCCUGCAUUCCUGAUAUCCAUACAUUCAGUUAUGGAUAAAAAUAAAGAUGGAAGAUUCACAGUCUUCCUCAACAAAAGUGCCAAACACCUCGCUCUGCAUGUUGCAGCCUCGCAGCCUGGAGACUCUGCUAUGUACUUCUGCGCAGCAAGUGCACAGUGCUCUCCAGGCACCUGCAGGCUGUGCCCAAACCUACUUUGGGGUCUCAGACUGGGAGGCAUGCAGACUUGCUUCUGUUACACAUGGCAGUACAAGAGUGUGCUUUGA